rnacentral:lncRNA from 1 species
GCAAAUCUAGUCAUAAAGGCUCAUAAUUGUCAAGUCUAUAAUUCCUAGGCCAAUACCCCCUUAACCUAGAAAACCGUACAAAUACCUAGACCCCUAGAGCUAAUAGGAGGAGCAUCAGCCGUUUCAUAGACAGACACAGUCCUAUGCCUACUGAAGAUGAGGAUUUCCAUUUUCAUUCAAUGAAAUUUCCGAAAAAUCCAAGGUUUUGCUCACUGAAUGUAACGUGAUUUCAUCCUUCAUUCAAGACUUCAAGCUAAUGACACCUUAUUAUCCCCAAUAUACAUCAACCCAAGUUAGCCGCAAACCCCUCUUCAAAGAACCUCCACCAGAUCUCACCCCUUUCGAUUAUUCUGCUUUCUAAUCUCAUAGAUUUUCUUAUUGAAUUUGGAAUUCAUCACGUGGUUUCGUUUUGGUAUCAUUUGGAAAUUGAGGUCGCCGGCAAGGUUCCGUUCGAGGUUGCCGUUGAGGUGUCCAGCCGACUGAUCUGUUCGUAGUUAUCGGCGAAAGCUCCAAUCCAGAACUACCAAAUUGCUAGGCUUGUAGUUCCAACCCCCGUUCAUUUGUGCAAGAGGUCCGAUUUUUGCCUUAUAAUCUCUUGGAUAAUGGUUAAAUUCCUUGUUUGCUUUUAUUCUGUUGAAGUUACUUGUUGAAACCAUUUUGAAUUUUGUUUCCAUAUUUGUUAAGAACGUUGAGGUGUUGCUUCGAUUCUUUUGGAUUAUACCUUAGUCAUGCUGCUUUGGUAUUUAUUGGUAAAUAAUGCGUAAAUCGCAUUUUGUUUGAUAAUAUGGAAUUCAUGGAUAUGAAACUUUUUGUUGCCUCCAUUCCAGAAGGUUUGUGUCAUAGCCUUCUAAAUCAUCUUCUAUCUGCUGUUGUUUUUCGAGGAGAUCAAGCCAUCAAUUUGAAAUUUUGGACUACUCUACCUCAACUUCGUUACUUUGGACAUGUUCUCACGGAGCAUGAGGUUUAGCUUGUUAAUUUUUAUCUCCUACAUUUGAUAUAGUCAUGCAUACAUUAAACAACAUUUAUUAUAGGGAAGGGGAAAGAGCUGUAAUAGUUAGACUUUAAUAGAGAUUUUUAGGCUUUUUAACAUAAUUAAAUACAAAGAGAUUGUCAAUUUUGUCUAACACGAUGCAUACGUAUAAAAUUUCUCUUUCUCCUCUGUUUUAAUGCGUGUUAUUGUCCAUUUGGUUGGAACAUGAUGGAUGGACAAAUUUGAAUGAUUUUUAUGACCGAUCAUGUUAGUUUUAAUAAAUUGAGGCGUGCCAUGCCAAAUAAAGUCUCAAACCCUAUGACCCUCGAAUAAUUAAUGUGAUCUCCUUAGAAAUCGAGGUGUACCAUUUAAUUGAAUUUUCAUGGCCCUCGCAAAGUUGAAAGUGCGUAGUUGCUUUAGGCGUGCUAUUUAAAAAUUAUUUUCCUAAACUCGAGUGUGCAUUUAUGUGAACCAUAUCCAAAUCUCAACAACGUUAAAUAAAAUAUGUUGUGGACUGCGGGUGCAUUUAUGUGACGUGGUUCAGGACGUGUUUUAGAUGACGUUAAAUCUUUCUCCUAAAAAACAAUUAAUUAAAGCAGUUAUAAAGUUAAAAUUGAACCAUAGGUUAAAAUAUGUAUUAAAAUCAGAUAAUAGGCCAAUUGUAACAGUUGAGCGACCGUGUUAGAACCACGGAACUCGGGAAUGCCUAAUACCUUCUCCCGGGUUAACAGAAUUCCUUAUCCGGAUUUCUGUGUCCGCGGACUGUAAUACUGAGUCAAUCUUUUCCUCGAUUCGGGAUUUAAAACUGGUGACUUGGGACACCACAAAUUAUUCCAAGUGGCGACUCUGAAUUUUUAAUAAAAUAAUCCCGUUUCGAUUGUCAUUUUAAGUUGGAAAAAACUCCCUUAUACACCCUCUCGGGAUGUAGAAAAGGAGGUGUGACAUGGUUUAACAAUUUUUAUUAAAACUUAAGCUUGGGAGCUCGGAUUUGAGCGAGAUUUUGAGGGACUUUCAGAGAUAUCGAUUGGGUAACGAUUCUUAAAUGAUUCUGGCUUGUAACACAUUAAUCUAAACAUGAAUUCAUCGUUUAAUUUCGGAAUUUGUAUGAAAAUUGGGGAAACAUUCUUAGACCAAGCAUUUGAGUUUUGAUUGAGGAUUUGACAUUGGAUUGGGGUAAUUUUGAUAUGGUUAGACUCGUGAAAGUGUGAGAAUUCUAAAAAUUUAAAUUUUACCCGAUUCCGAGACAUGGGCCCGUGGGACAUUUUGGUCAUUUUACCUAAUUUUGCGUAUUAGCUUAGAUUUUCUUUGUAGAAUCAGUUACAUGAAGUCUUAUUUACGUUAUGAAAUUGAAUUGAAUAUAUUUGGGCUAUUUGCAGUCGAGUACUCGUGGCAAGAACGUGGUCUCAGAUUGAUUUUGAGCCGGUUCGAGGUAAAUGGCUUGUCUAACCUUGUGUGGGGGACCUUCCCCUUAGGAUUGGUAUAUUUGGUAAUUGAAAUACUUUGUACGUGAGGUGACGAGUGCGUACUUGUGCAAAUUAUUAGAAAUCCGAUUUUCUUUAAGUAUUUAUUAGUAUGUUCUUUUCCUGUUUUUAUUACUUGUGCUAUUAAGCCUAUUGUUAGCUUAGGAAAGUAUGUCUAAGUGAGUUAGUUGCUUUUAUUGUCCAACCUGCUUAACUGAAUUCUGUGCAACAUGCUAGGUUAGAAUCACUUGUUUACCUUAAUAUGAAAUUUGCCAUUACUGUAUAAUUUCCUGUUGCUGCUUGUAUUUAUUUUGGGACUACGAAUGUGGAAUUCCGGUAGCUCCCCCUUAUCUGUUUAUUUUGGGACUACAGAUGUGGGAUUUCGGUAGAUCCGCCUGCACAGUUAUAUGGAACUACGGGAAUGCACCCAGUACUGGUUAUUUAUAUUUGGGACUACGGAACGGGAUUCCAGUAGAUCCCCGCGCACUAUGAGUUUGACUACGGGACGACAUCCUGGGAGAUCCAUUGGAUAUGUACAUAUGAGACUACAUGGCGGUAUAAUGGGAGAUCCCUGAUUGUUAUUAUUAGUGCUGAGCUGUAUUUCCUUUCCGUGUUUACCUUGUUUUUGUAUAGUUGUUGAUGUCCUGUACAUCCUGUAUUAUUUUACUAUUGUACUUAUUUAUACUAUUUUGUUCUAUACUGUUGAUCUUUAUAUUUUAUUUAACCUCAAUAGGGCCUGACCUUCCUCGUCACUACCCAACCGAGGUUAGACUUAGCACUUACUGAGUACCGCUGUGGUGUACUCAUGCUCUUUCUGUGCAUGUUUUUCAUGUGCAGAUCCAGGUACCGCUACUCAGGCCUACUAUCCUUGAGGGAAGCAACUACUCUAGAGACUUCGAGGUACAUCUGCCGCGUCUGCAGACCGAGGAGUCCCUUUCUAUUCUAGCUGUUAAACGUUGCCCUUCUGUAUUUUCUUUCUUGUUAGAUAUUCUGGAGUUAGACUAUUAGAUAUUCCAAAAGCUUGUGUUUUCGUGAGUUUUCGAGUUUUGGGAUAGUGUACUUGGUUUUGAGAAUGUUGUGUUGUAUAUGCCGAGAGGCAUUAUAACUAUUGUUCCAUUUAGUUAUUUUGGUUUUUGACUAUUUUUUCCGCAAGUUUUGUUUAUGUUCUGCAAUUGGUAGGCUUACCUAGUCGUAGAGACUAGGUGCCGUCACGACAGUUCACGGAGGGCGUACUAGAGUCGUGACAAGUUGGUAUCAGAGCUCUAGGUUCAUAGGAGUCUUGGAUCACAAACCGGUUUAUUAGAGUCUCGUUGAACGGUACGGAGACAUCUGUACUUAUCUAUGAGAGGCUAUGUAAUUGUUAGAAAAAUUUCACUUCAUUUGAUUUCCUUGUUGUGCGAUAUUUUUGACAUCACAAUUCUAAACUUCGGUCUUCUAUUCUCUCACAGAUGGUGAGGACACGCGCUACCCGAGAUGAUCAGGCACCUGCGCCCCCAACUGCAGCCGUCAGAGGCUGGGGACGAGGUAGAGGCUAAGGACGCGCACGUGGUGCAGCCAGAGCACCUGCA